GUGCCAGCAGCCGCGGUAAUACGGAGGGUGCAAGCGUUAAUCGGAAUUACUGGGCGUAAAGCGAGUGUAGGCGGCUGCAUAAGUCGGAUGUGAAAGCCCUGGGCUCAACCUGGGAAUGGCAUUCGAUACUGUGCGGCUAGAGUCUGAUAGAGGGAAGUGGAAUUCCAGGUGUAGCGGUGAAAUGCGUAGAUAUCUGGAAGAACACCAGUGGCGAAGGCGGCUUCCUGGAUCAAGACUGACGCUGAGGCUCGAAAGCGUGGGGAGCAAACAGGAUUAGAAACCCGUGUAGUCC
rnacentral:rRNA from 1 species